rnacentral:rRNA from 1 species
GGAUAACCUGCCCUAAGGAAGGGGAUAACCUCGGGAAACUGAGGAUAAUACCCUAUAGGAUACCGAUGCUGGAAUGCCCGGUAUCCCAAAGCUCCGGCGCCUUAGGAUGGAUCUGCGGCCGAUUAGGUCGUUGUUGGGGUAACGGCCUAACAAGCCGAUAAUCGGUACGGGUUGUGGGAGCAAGAGCCCGGAGUUGGAUUCUGAGACACGAAUCCAGGCCCUACGGGGCGCAGCAGGCGCGAAAACUUUACAAUGCGGGCAACCGUGAUAAGGGAACCUCGAGUGCCUGUACAUGCAGGCUGUCUGGGUGUCUAAAACACACCCAAAGAAAGGGCCGGGCAAGACCGGUGCCAGCCGCCGCGGUAAUACCGGCGGCUCGAGUGGUGGCCACUUUUAUUGGGCUUAAAGCGUUCGUAGCUGGGUUGUUAAGUCUCUUGGGAAAUCUGGCAGCUUAACUGUCAGGCGUCUAAGAGAUACUGGCAAUCUAGGAACCGGGAGAGGUGAGGGGUACUUCGGGGGUAGGAGUGAAAUCCUGUAAUCCUCGAGGGACCACCUGUGGCGAAGGCGCCUCACCAGAACGGCUUCGACAGUGGGGGACGAAAGCUGGGGGAGCAAACCGGAUUAGAUACCCGGGUAGUCCCAGCCGUAAACGAUGCGCGUUAGGUGUGUCGAUGACCACGAGUCAUCGAGGUGCCGAAAGGGAAACCGUGAAACGCGCCGCCUGGGAAGUACGGUCGCAAGCUGAAACU